UACGUAGGGUGCAAGCGUUGUCCGGAAUUAUUGGGCGUAAAGAGCUCGUAGGCGGUCUGUUGCGUCGGCUGUGAAAACCCGGGGCUCAACCCCGGGCCUGCAGCCGAUACGGGGCAGACUAGAGUUCGGCAGGGGAGACUGGAAUUCCUGGUGUAGCGGUGAAAUGCGCAGAUAUCAGGAGGAACACCGGUGGCGAAGGCGGGUCUCUGGGCCGAUACUGACGCUGAGGAGCGAAAGCGUGGGGAGCGAACAGG
rnacentral:rRNA from 1 species